GUCGAGCGAACGGACGAGAAGCUUGCUUCUCUGAUGUUAGCGGCGGACGGGUGAGUAACACGUGGAUAACCUACCUAUAAGACUGGGAUAACUUCGGGAAACCGGAGCUAAUACCGGAUAAUAUUUUGAACCGCAUGGUUCAAAAGUGAAAGACGGUCUUGCUGUCACUUAUAGAUGGAUCCGCGCUGCAUUAGCUAGUUGGUAAGGUAACGGCUUACCAAGGCAACGAUGCAUAGCCGACCUGAGAGGGUGAUCGGCCACACUGGAACUGAGACACGGUCCAGACUCCUACGGGAGGCAGCAGUAGGGAAUCUUCCGCAAUGGGCGAAAGCCUGACGGAGCAACGCCGCGUGAGUGAUGAAGGUCUUCGGAUCGUAAAACUCUGUUAUUAGGGAAGAACAUAUGUGUAAGUAACUGUGCACAUCUUGACGGUACCUAAUCAGAAAGCCACGGCUAACUACGUGCCAGCAGCCGCGGUAAUACGUAGGUGGCAAGCGUUAUCCGGAAUUAUUGGGCGUAAAGCGCGCGUAGGCGGUUUUUUAAGUCUGAUGUGAAAGCCCACGGCUCAACCGUGGAGGGUCAUUGGAAACUGGAAAACUUGAGUGCAGAAGAGGAAAGUGGAAUUCCAUGUGUAGCGGUGAAAUGCGCAGAGAUAUGGAGGAACACCAGUGGCGAAGGCGACUUUCUGGUCUGUAACUGACGCUGAUGUGCGAAAGCGUGGGGAUCAAACAGGAUUAGAUACCCUGGUAGUCCACGCCGUAAACGAUGAGUGCUAAGUGUUAGGGGGUUUCCGCCCCUUAGUGCUGCAGCUAACGCAUUAAGCACUCCGCCUGGGGAGUACGACCGCAAGGUUGAAACUCAAAGGAAUUGACGGGGACCCGCACAAGCGGUGGAGCAUGUGGUUUAAUUCGAAGCAACGCGAAGAACCUUACCAAAUCUUGACAUCCUUUGACAACUCUAGAGAUAGAGCCUUCCCCUUCGGGGGACAAAGUGACAGGUGGUGCAUGGUUGUCGUCAGCUCGUGUCGUGAGAUGUUGGGUUAAGUCCCGCAACGAGCGCAACCCUUAAGCUUAGUUGCCAUCAUUAAGUUGGGCACUCUAAGUUGACUGCCGGUGACAAACCGGAGGAAGGUGGGGAUGACGUCAAAUCAUCAUGCCCCUUAUGAUUUGGGCUACACACGUGCUACAAUGGACAAUACAAAGGGCAGCGAAACCGCGAGGUCAAGCAAAUCCCAUAAAGUUGUUCUCAGUUCGGAUUGUAGUCUGCAACUCGACUACAUGAAGCUGGAAUCGCUAGUAAUCGUAGAUCAGCAUGCUACGGUGAAUACUUUCCCGGGUCUUGUACACACCGCCCGUCACACCACGAGAGUUUGUAACACCCGAAGCCGGUGGAGUAACCUUUUAGGAGCUAGCCGUCGAAGGUGGGACA
rnacentral:rRNA from 1 species